rnacentral:rRNA from 1 species
AGAGUUUGAUCCUGGCUCAGAUUGAACGCUGGCGGCAGGCCUAACACAUGCAAGUCGAACGGUAACAGGAAACAGCUUGCUGUUUCGCUGACGAGUGGCGGACGGGUGAGUAAUGUCUGGGAAACUGCCUGAUGGAGGGGGAUAACUACUGGAAACGGUAGCUAAUACCGCAUAACGUCGCAAGACCAAAGAGGGGGACCUUCGGGCCUCUUGCCAUCGGAUGUGCCCAGAUGGGAUUAGCUAGUAGGUGGGGUAACGGCUCACCUAGGCGACGAUCCCUAGCUGGUCUGAGAGGAUGACCAGCCACACUGGAACUGAGACACGGUCCAGACUCCUACGGGAGGCAGCAGUGGGGAAUAUUGCACAAUGGGCGCAAGCCUGAUGCAGCCAUGCCGCGUGUAUGAAGAAGGCCUUCGGGUUGUAAAGUACUUUCAGCGGGGAGGAAGGGAGUAAAGUUAAUACCUUGCUCAUUGACGUACCCGCAGAAGAAGCCCCCGA